UACAUGAAGCUGGAAUCGCUAGUAAUCGCGGAUCAGAAUGCCGCGGUGAAUACGUUCCCGGGUCUUGUACACACCGCCCGUCACACCAUGGGAGUCAGUAACGCCCGAAGCCGGUGACCCAACCUAUCAGGAGGGAGCCGUCGAAGGCGGGACGGAUGACUGGGGUGAAGUCGUAACAAGGUACC
rnacentral:rRNA from 1 species